CAUUAAUAGCAAUCCAGACGUCCCUGAAAGCAUGACGACAACAUGGAUACAUUCGCUUGUCACGGUCAAACGAUCGUGUCGACGUCUCUUUUUGAUUCUUCGACGUGAACUUUUCCUAUCAUUGUGAAGCAGAAUUCAUCAAGCGUUGGAGAGCACACCCACAAAUAGCAAAUGUAAGCUAGACCGUCAUGAGACCCUACUAAUGAGUACAAUAACCAGUGAUAAUCCUGUUAAGUAUUGUAUGAGGAGCAAGUCCAGACAAUUGGUAUAUGUUCCUGGUCGAAAGGUCGACGGUGCGAAGCUAUCAUCUGAAGGAUUACAACGGUACAUCCGACACGUGACUGGGCAAAUUUACGUAUUCCUCUGGGUGUCCGACCAGGUCCACUAGAGCAAUAAGCAUCAAAAAUAUGCUGCGGAUUUCAGGGUGUACGAGGUCUAUCUAAUUGUGAUAUGAACAUGAGGAUACAAAAUCGUUUGUAAACGACUUAGCAUCUUGUUGGGGAGAUAUGAGGCAUUCAGUUUUAUUAUUGCUUCGUGUAUUCAGCUCACACACUAGGCUAU
rnacentral:ncRNA from 1 species